GCCGGCAUAGCUCAGUUGGUAGAGCAGUUGAUUUGUAAUCAUCAGGCCCCGUGUUCGAUCCAUGGUGCCGGCACCA
rnacentral:tRNA from 1 species